AGAGUUUGAUCCUGGCUCAGGACGAACGCUGGCGGCGUGCCUAAUACAUGCAAGUCGAGCGAAUCGAUGGGAGCUUGCUCCCUGAGAUUAGCGGCGGACGGGUGAGUAACACGUGGGCAACCUGCCUAUAAGACUGGGAUAACUUCGGGAAACCGGAGCUAAUACCGGAUACGUUCUUUUCUUGCAUGAGAGAAGAUGGAAAGACGGUUUACGCUGUCACUUAUAGAUGGGCCCGCGUCGGAUUAGCUAGUUGGUGAGGUAAUGGCUCACCAAGGCGACGAUCCGUAACUGGUCUGAGAGGAUGAUCAGUCACACUGGAACUGAGACACGGUCCAGACUCCUACGGGAGGCAGCAGUGGGGAAUAUUGGACAAUGGGCGAAAGCCUGAUCCAGCCAUGCCGCGUGUGUGAAGAAGGUCUUCGGAUUGUAAAGCACUUUAAGUUGGGAGGAAGGGCAGUAAAUUAAUACUUUGCUGUUUUGACGUUACCGACAGAAUAAGCACCGGCUAACUUCGUGCCAGCAGCCGCGGUAAUACGAAGGGUGCAAGCGUUAAUCGGAAUUACUGGGCGUAAAGCGCGCGUAGGUGGUUUGUUAAGUUGAAUGUGAAAGCCCCGGGCUCAACCUGGGAACUGCAUCCAAAACUGGCAAGCUAGAGUAUGGCAGAGGGUGGUGGAAUUUCCUGUGUAGCGGUGAAAUGCGUAGAUAUAGGAAGGAACACCAGUGGCGAAGGCGACCACCUGGACUAAUACUGACACUGAGGUGCGAAAGCGUGGGGAGCAAACAGGAUUAGAUACCCUGGUAGUCCACGCCGUAAACGAUGUCAACUAGCCGUUGGAAGCCUUGAGCUUUUAGUGGCGCAGCUAACGCAUUAAGUUGACCGCCUGGGGAGUACGGCCGCAAGGUUAAAACUCAAAUGAAUUGACGGGGGCCCGCACAAGCGGUGGAGCAUGUGGUUUAAUUCGAAGCAACGCGAAGAACCUUACCAGGUCUUGACAUCUUCGGAUGUCCCUAGAGAUAGGGAGUUCCCUUCGGGGACCGAAUGACAGGUGGUGCAUGGUUGUCGUCAGCUCGUGUCGUGAGAUGUUGGGUUAAGUCCCGCAACGAGCGCAACCCUUGAUCUUAGUUGCCAGCAUUCAGUUGGGCACUCUAAGGUGACUGCCGGUGACAAACCGGAGGAAGGUGGGGAUGACGUCAAAUCAUCAUGCCCCUUAUGACCUGGGCUACACACGUGCUACAAUGGAUAGAACAAAGGGAAGCGAAGCCGCAAGGUGUAGCAAAUCCCGUAAAUCUAUUCUCAGUUCGGAUUGCAGGCUGCAACUCGCCUGUAUGAAGCCGGAAUCGCUAGUAAUCGUGGAUCAGCAUGCCACGGUGAAUACGUUCCCGGGCCUUGUACACACCGCCCGUCACACCACGAGAGUUGGCAACACCCGAAGUCGGUGGGGUAACCUUUGGAGCCAGCCGCCGAAGGUGGGGCCAAUGAUUGGGGUGAAGUCGUAACAAGGUAACCGUA
rnacentral:rRNA from 1 species